rnacentral:rRNA from 1 species
AGCGAACGCUGGCGGCAGGCCUAACACAUGCAAGUCGAACGAACCUUUCGGGGUUAGUGGCGGACGGGUGAGUAACACGUGGGAACGUGCCUUUAGGUUCGGAAUAACUCAGGGAAACUUGUGCUAAUACCGAAUGUGCCCUUCGGGGGAAAGAUUAAUCGCCUUUAGAGCGGCCCGCGUCUGAUUAGCAAGUUGGUUGAGGUAAUGGCUCACCAAGGCGACGAUCAGUAGCUGGUCUGAGAGGAUGAUCAGCCACAUUGGGACUGAGACACGGCCCAAACUCCUACGGGAGGCAGCAGUGGGGAAUCUUGCGCAAUGGGCGAAAGCCUGACGCAGCCAUGCCGCGUGAAUGAUGAAGGUCUUAGGAUUGUAAAAUUCUUUCACCGGGGACGAUAAUGACGGUACCCGGAGAAGAAGCCCCGGCUAACUUCGUG